CAUGUUUGACCGUUCGUCUUAUUCAAAAAAUUUACGUAAUUAUAAUUUAUUUUAUUAUGGGUUGUUUUAUCACUCAUAGUACUUUAAGUGUGAUUUAUAUCUUAUACAUUUGCAUAAAAUUUUUUAAUAAGACGAAUGGUCAAACAUG
rnacentral:pre_miRNA from 1 species